rnacentral:lncRNA from 1 species
AUUUGGCUCAGCUUAGCCUCUGGAUUGACUCAGUCUCUCUCAAGUCCCCAAAAGAGGUACCAGGAGCUCACUAUCGCUUGAAACCAACAUAGCCUUCUAUGUCUACCACUUCAGCAGGUAUGGUCAAGGAUACUGGUGGAAACUCAAAAGGGGAUUUUCUGCCGAUCCCAAAUAAUGUCUGCCAAAAACAACAGCAACAAUAAAACAUCAAGGAAGAUGACUUCAGCUUACCUAACCUAACUUUAGCACCUUAAUAUCACAAUAGGGAAGUUAAAUAUAUUUUAAGAAAUGUAUUGCUUUGUUUCCUUUUCCACUUAUUUUCACUUGUAUAUUUAGGAUUAUUUCCAUUGCAAAUUAUUGAAGCCCCAAUUCAAAUUUGCUUAAGCAAAAAAAGGAAAGAAAAGAAGAGAAAAGAAAAGAAAAGAAAAGAAAAGAAAAGAAAAGAAAAGAAAAGAAAAGAAAAGAAAAGAAAAAAGAAAUCUGGCUCGCAUAAUUGCAUAAGACAGAGAAAGCCUUGCCAAGUUUAUGAGCCAAGAAAUAGCUGAAUUAUAAUGGCUGGAACUUCAAAGAGAAAGAAGAGUGAAAGUGAAAUGGUGGCUGCCUUCUGUGACAAGACUCUGCCACUCCACAGAAGCUCCUGAUGUCUGGGGGAACAGCACUGACGGUGUCUGCAAGGCCAGCAGCCUCACUGCCAUGGUUCCAAGUGUGAACAGACCCGGCAGUAACAUCCAUUCCACAUGGAUCAGGUAAGCCCAGAUUACAUUUCAACAUGUGUACAACUCUCCAGGGUGCAAGUGCCUUUACAGCUGCCUUUCAUUCACAUAUUUU